GACGAACCGUACGAACGUUAUUCGGAAUCACUGGGCUUAAAGGGUGCGUAGGCGGCGCGACAAGUUGGGUGUGAAAUCCCUCGGCUCAACCGAGGAACUGCGCCCAAAACUGUCGUGCUCGAGGGAGACAGAGGUGAGCGGAACUUAGGGUGGAGCGGUGAAAUGCGUAGAUAUCGUUUGGAACGCCAAAGGUGAAAACAGCUCGCUGGGGGUCUGCUGACGCUGAGACACGAAAGCCAGGGGAGCGAACGGG
rnacentral:rRNA from 1 species